rnacentral:rRNA from 1 species
UACGUAGGGUGCGAGCGUUGUCCGGAAUUACUGGGCGUAAAGAGCUCGUAGGUGGUUUGUCGCGUUGUUCGUGAAAACCGGGGGCUUAACCCUCGGCGUGCGGGCGAUACGGGCAGACUGGAGUACUGCAGGGGAGACUGGAAUUCCUGGUGUAGCGGUGGAAUGCGCAGAUAUCAGGAGGAACACCGGUGGCGAAGGCGGGUCUCUGGGCAGUAACUGACGCUGGAGGAGCGAAAGCGUGGGGAGCGAACAGG